GUGCCCUGCCAGGGCACUGCCUGACGCCUCAGUAGCUCAGAUGCUCAGGGAGGCACCUGGGUGGAGAGGAUGGGGGUGGUAUGAUGCUUUCUGUGACCUGGAGGCCCUUUGUGACUUUUUCACCCGUCCUUCUCCCCUAUCCCUCUGUGAUGGCUACGUGUGUGUGUGUACAAGGAUACAACUAUAUGUGUGUAUGAAAGUUCCUUGGUAAACAGCAAGACCCCAAUGCACGCAGCUGUCAUUGCUGUCUUCUCACUUUUUCCUUCAUAUGGAGUUUACUCCACAUAUGGUUGCUGAUGACCCGAAGCAAGAAGAUAAUAGAGCCCAUAGCAUACAGGGCAUCAGAAAGUUCCCUGGAUGUUUACACUUCUAGGUCUGAUGUUCUGAUUCCCUGUGGUUCCCCUCAUUAGGCUUCGAGAUUCCGCUUGGAGGGGCCAUGGUGAACUGCCAUCCUGCACACUGCCUCUUCUGGCCUUGAUUCCUCUGUCCCAUUUCAAUGGCUUUACCCACAUGCUGGGAAUUACUGCUACUGGAGAAUCUCCUCGUUUGUGUGGUCACGCGAUGUCACCUUGAGUCUAUUUCUGAUCUCUGCAUAACAUCUUCUCAUUGGAAUGUGGGAACACAAGGAGCUGUUCGUUUUACACUCCCCAGUCCUGGAACAAAAAUUACAAAGUGUUCUGUCUUCUCAGAGAAAGACUGUUCCUCUCACUCUUAUUCAGUUCCAAGAAACAACAGCUGUUGCUGUGUGUACAGUUGUUUAAAAUUCCUUCAUUUCAUGUAAAGAUCCAGCUUGAUGCCUGCUUUGUGAUUAUCUAAGCCCUGAACAGUGAUGGAGUCACAGGGCUGCAGGGGAGCUGGGCUGUGUUAAAUGUGAAUUUUGAGAUUUAUGGGAAAGAUUAGGACAGCCACACAGCCCUCUGAAAAGUGAGCAGGGCAGCCAAACUACUGCUGGCAUUUUAUUUCAAGUGCUGCAUCACUGCUUUGAUGUUUUUUUAUGCUUUGUACUUACCCUGCUGGAACCACUGCAAACGGAUAGAAAACUAAGGAGAAAUCUGCUCUCCUUUGCCACUUCCAAGGUUCUCUUGAGUUGAACGAUCAGUUUCACGCAGUUCUAGAAGGGAAGCCAAGUUCUGGAGUAUGUGGGGUUCCAGAGGGUGGCUCCAGUAGAUCCCAGUGAUGGAUGGUGUCUUCCUGUGCAGCUGCUCUCCAGCAUAUUUCAGAUGAUUGGAUAGAUUUAUUUCUCCAAGAUAAUCUGAACUGCCCAUCUCUGUGGAAGUUAGCACACUCUGUGGUUCAAGUUAAAUUGAUAGUUAUGUCUGUUUGCUUUUUAUUUUCCCCUAUAGAUGAGGGAGCAACAGAGAAACUGAAGGACUGUGAGGAAAAUCAGUGAAUACCCCCAUAUCUUAGUUUUUGCCCAGUGCUCCCCAAUUUGGCGCUUCCUCACUCCAUGUCUCCAACUCUUGUCCAUUUGGAGUAAGUGGGAAUCCUGCCUCCCUUUGCCCCACCAGCCUCAGGAAAGGCAGGAUCCCUUCUUCCUCAGCUGCCACCUCUGGAUGUGGGUGCUCCCUUGGAUCCUCCUUGGGCACAAAGUUCCUGGCAAAGCCGUGCAUUACAGGGUUGAGACCAAGUGGUCAUCACACGCUAUCUUGGGAGUUUCUUUAGAAAUUCUUGAUAGGUUUGGAACCAAAGGAAUGAAUGUGGGGAUUCUGAGAGAAGCAAGAAGAGAUUUAGACUCGCCUUUGAAGUGGUGGAAGGGGAAGGCAGGGGCAGGCAGGAGGAGCCUAGAAGAGUCCUUCUGAAUUCAGGCAAAGCUCCCACCCCCACUGUCCCGGGAACACAGAACCAAACCUCCCCAGGGGAAUAGGGACUAAGUGGGGAAACAGUCCCGCCCACUCCCCUUGGCUAAGAAGGAGGAGGUCAGGUGACUUUCAGGCUUAGGCUUUUUUGUUUGUUCUCCCCCAAGCGCUUCCUUUUUCCAAAAAUGGCUCCCACCUACCUGCUGAAGCCCCAAACCCUCGUAGCAGCUAGCAGGAGACAAAGCCUCUGAUGCCCAAAAAUGAGAUAAAAGGCUUAAUCAUGCAGAUCUCCAGGGGAGCACCUCUGUCUGAAACUCUUUUGUAUUAAAAUGUCAUCGUAUUAAAAUGCCAUCACCUUUUCAGCAGAUGGGAUGACUGACACCCACGGAGAUGGCAGCGGUCUGCCACCCUUUUGGUUAGUGAGUGAGGACAGAGACCAGACAGGUAAGGAAAGGCGAGGAAGCCCUGUUCCGGGCAGCGUCCCUUGUGUCGCAAAAACCACCACGGUGGGUGGGGGUUUCCCCGAGAGACGACCCAUUUUUAGGGCAACGGAUCCACGUGCGUCCGUGGUGUGAGCGCUUCCGGUGUCAGGGCGGAGCCACGCGGUCGGUGCGCGCAGGAAGGCGGGGCUUCCGCGAGGCGUUUCCGGCUGGCGAGUCAGCGCCGCAGACCCCGGCGUGGAGGUGAGGGAUGCUGGGGUCCGUCAGCCCCUGCCCCGGCGGCGGUGUUCCCUCUUCCUGCAGUGGAGGCUGAGCAGACGCGGCCGGGCGGAGAGGAAUUCCUUGGGACCACGAGACAAGAGGUACAGAGUGACCCGGAGGUCGGACGUGUUUUGCAGCUUUCAGGGAGGCUUUCAGAAUCGCAACCGGCGGCUGCGGCGGCUCCUGGCCAUUACGAAGGGCGGGCCUGACCAUUCUGGAAAGUCGCUUGCUCACUUCAUACGGCAAACAUCUGCUGGAUGUGCCGAGCUCCGGGAAGCCACUAAGGUCACACAGAUCUCCAGCCCAGCAGGAGAAACAGACCUACGACGAGGAUCCUGAACCACCACAGCGAGGGCAGGGCUGUGGCUGUGCAGGGCAUCCUCUGAGAUCAGAAAUCCCGAGCGAGCAGGAUCGCGGUCUGUUGGGGUCACUGCAAUAUCCUGGAGCCUCCGCCGUGCCUGGCACACGGCGGACAUGGAAGGAGGCACUGGGAGCAGCAGCUGGCAGGACUGCAGGGUGAGUGGAAGGAGGGCCUUCCAGCCGGGCCUUGGCCCUCGGCCCCCCUGAGGGGGGAACAGGAGGGCUCUGGCAGGGCUCCACCGCUGGGGCUGCCGUCCCAGAACUGAUUUCCUGCCUGCAGGAGGGCCGGUGUAAAGCUGGACUUCCACAAGAUGACUGAUGUCCCAGUAACCGCCCGCUUUCUCCGCCCGCAUCCUAAGGCGGCUGAGAUAAACACAUACACUCGGG